UUGUAGGCUCGAUAAUAUCGCAGCUUGAGCUAUUCUUCUAACCUGCAGUGCUCCCAUUUUACUUCAGAGUGGCCUCGGAACCGUUCUGGUCAGCCCAGGCGAGGGCAGCAGCUUCAGCCCAAGGUGGAAGCCCGAGCGAUGGGCGCUGGUUUCUCCUGCGGCUGCACGUCCUGAGUCACAGCACUGAGACAGGUGCUUUCACAGGGUGAUGUGAUGCUGUAGUGACAUAAACAUUAAAUGGAAGCAAAUUGGUGAUUGCCCCAUCAGGACUUGGGACUGUUGUAAAACUGGAGGAAAUGAAAACUCAUGAUUGAAUCUGGAGGAAAACACUGUCUUCUGGAAAGGGUAAGGAGCUAAAGGUCAGCCAGAAAGAAAUUUAACUUUCCACUGAGAAUGAAUUACAUGGAUUUCUCCUUUUAACCUAAAGGAACUCUUUGAACUGAAAGCCAAAUACCUCAAACUCUUCCUAAAAAUCUCCGACAGCACAGAGGAAUAUCUGCAGUUCCCUACAACCUUCCUCACAGUGUACUGAGAUUGAUGCUAAGUGUUUAUGCAAUGAAUAUUUGUUUUUUUAAUGUAAUGUUAGCAUUAUUAAUGGUUAGUAUUUAAAAUGGUUUUGCAAAGACACGUAGGUGAAAAGUUACACGCAUCCCACUGCUUCUUUUUAAAAGACCCGGGAAUGUCACUAAAGAACUGGAAGCGUGGAUUAAGGGUUAAUGAUUUAUGCAUAUCCCAUUUCUGAAAAGAAACGUCUGUGACCACAUGUAAGAGUACAUGUGAACUAGUUUAACAGGGGUGAUUUUGCAUGCACGUGACAAAACUGCUACAGUGCCUUUCCUGCUUUAUCAACAAAGCAUCAAAAAAGAUGGACGUAGGUUCAGGUGCAAAUCCGGCUGUAGAUACAGAGCGGGUUUGUAUCCAACCGUUACAGCCUGGCUAUGCACUUUACCUCUGAAUUACGAAGCACAGAGUGUUACUGAUUCUCUGGGAAGUCUGCCGUCUUUUCUUGCUCUCGUGUAUCGUUUUAUUCAGAUGCCGUCCAUUGACGUAAUUCUAAGUAACUCUUCCUACAGUACAGAAGGCGGGCGCGGCUCCGUUGGCAGGUUUGAGGCCGCGCGCUCUCCCUCUCG